GACGAACGCUGGCGGCGUGCUUAACACAUGCAAGUCGAACGGAAAGGCCCUGCUUUUGUGGGGUGCUCGAGUGGCGAACGGGUGAGUAACACGUGAGUAACCUGCCCUUGACUUUGGGAUAACUUCAGGAAACUGGGGCUAAUACCGGAUAGGAGCUCCUGCUGCAUGGUGGUGGUUGGAAAGUUUCGGCGGGUGGGGAUGGACUCGAGGCUUAUCAGCUUGUUGGUGGGGUAGUGGCUUACCACGGGUUUGACGGGUAGCCGGCCUGAGAGGGUGACCGGCCACAUGGGGACUGAGAUACGGCCCAGACUCCUACGGGAAGCAGCAGUGGGGAAUAUUGCACAAUGGGCGGAAGCCUGAUGCAGCAACGCCGCGUGCGGGAUGACGGCCUUCGGGUUAUAAACCGCUUUCGCCUGUGACGAAGCGUGAGUGACGGUAAUGGGUAAAGAGGCACCGGCUAACUACGUG
rnacentral:rRNA from 1 species